rnacentral:rRNA from 1 species
AAUGAACGCUGGCGGCAGGCCUAACACAUGCAAGUCGAACGAGUUGCGGACGGGUGAGUAAUGUCUGGGAAACUGACCGAUGGAGGGGGAUAACUACUUGAAACGGUAGCUAAUACCCCCUCCCAUCGGAUUUGCCCAGAUGGGAUUAGCUAGUAGGUGGGUUAACGGCUAACCUAGGCGACGAUCCCUAGCUGGUCUCAGAGGAUGACCAGCCACACUGGAACUGAGACACGUUCCAGACGCCUACGGGAGGAAGCAGUGGGGAAUAUUGCACAAGGGGCGCAAGCCUGAUGAAGCCAUGCCGCGUGUAUGAAGAAGGCCUUCGGGUUGUAAAGUACUUUCAGCGAGGAGGCGUUACUCGCAGAAGAAGCACCGGCUAACUCCGUGCCAGCAGCCGCGGUAAUAC